CAGUAGCCACGGGAAUACGUAGGUGGCAAGCGUUGUCCGGAAUUAUUGGGCGUAAAGGGCUCGCAGGCGGUUUCUUAAGUCUGAUGUGAAAGCCCCCGGCUCAACCGGGGAGGGUCAUUGGAAACUGGGAAACUUGAGUGCAGAAGAGGAGAGUGGAAUUCCACGUGUAGCGGUGAAAUGCGUAGAGAUGUGGAGGAACACCAGUGGCGAAGGCGACUCUCUGGUCUGUAACUGAUGCUGAGGAGCGAAAGCGUGGGGAGCGAACAGGAUUAGAUACCCCCGUAGUCCCUGUCUCUUAUAC
rnacentral:rRNA from 1 species